AUUCUACCCUAGAGGAAGUUCUCUGCUACUGCCUGGGUGUCAUGCUACCCUAGAGGAAGUUCUCUGCUACUGCCUGGGUGUCAUGCCACCCUUAGAGGAGGUUCUCUGCUACUGCCUGCGUGUCACCCCUAGAGGAGGUUCUCUGCUACUGCCUGCAUGUCACUCCUAGAGGAGGUUCUCUGCAACUGCCUGGGUGUCACUCCUAGAGGAGGUUCUCUGCUACUGCCUGUGUGUCACUCCUAGAGGAGGUUCUCUGCUACUGCCUGGGUGUCACUCCUAGAGGAGGUGCUCUGCUACUGCCUGCGUGUCACUCCUAGAGGAGGUUCUCUGCUACUGCCUGCGUGCCACUCCUAGAGGAGGUUCUCUGCUACUGCCUGCGUGUCACUCCGAGAGGAGGUUCUCUGCUACUGUCUGCGUGUCACUCCUAGAGGAGGUUCUCUGCUACUGCCUGCGUGUCACUCCUAGAGGAGGUUCUCUGCUACUGCCUGUGUGUCACUCCUAGAGGAGGUUCUCUGCUACUGCCUGCGUGUCACUCCUAGAGGAGGUUCUCUGCUACUGCCUGGGUGUCAUGCCACCCUAGAGGAAGUUGUUUGCUACUGCCUGCGUGUCACUCCUAGAGGAGGUUCUCUGCUACUGCCUGCGUGUCACUCCUAGAGGAGGUUCUCUGCUACUGCCUGGGUGUCACUCCUAGAGGAGGUUCUCUACUACUGCCUGCGUGUCACUCCUAGAGGAGGUUCUCUGCUACUGCCUGCGUGUCACUCCUAGAGGUGGUUCUCUGCUACUGCCUGGGUGUCAUGCUACCCUUAGAGGAGGUUCUCUGCUACUGCCUGGGUGUCAUGCCACCCUAGAGAAAGUUAUCUGCUACUGCCUGCGUGUCACUCCUAGAGGAGGUUCUCUGCUACUGCCUGCGUGUCACUCCUAGAAGAGGUUCUCUGCUACUGCCUGGGUGUCACUCCUA